rnacentral:rRNA from 1 species
UGAGGAAUAUUGGGUCAAUGGGCGAGAGCCUGAACCAGCCAAGUCGCGUGAGGGAAGACGGUCCUACGGAUUGUAAACCUCUUUUGUCGGGGAGUAAUAGGCGGGACGUGUCCUGCUGUGAGAGUACCCGAAGAAAAAGCAUCGGCUAACUCCGUGCCAGCAGCCGCGGUAAUACGGAGGAUGCGAGCGUUAUCCGGAUUUAUUGGGUUUAAAGGGAGCGCAGGCCGCCGGGCAAGCGUGUUGUGAAAUGCAGUCGCUCAACGUCUGCACUGCAGCGCGAACUGCCCAGCUUGAGUGCGCGCAACGUUGGCGGAAUUCGCCGUGUAGCGGUGAAAUGCUUAGAUAUGGCGAAGAACUCCGAUUGCGAAGGCAGCUGACGGGUGCGUAACUGACGCUCAUGCUCGAAAGUGCGGGUAUCGAACAGGAUUAGAUACCCUGGUAGU